rnacentral:misc_RNA from 1 species
GAUGAAGAACGCAGCGAAAUGCGAUGAGUAAUGUGAAUUGCAGAAUUCAGUGAAUCAUCGAAUCUUUGAACGCACAUUGCGCCCGCCAGUAUUCUGGCGGGCAUGCCUGUUCGAGCGUCAUUUCAACCAUCAAGCCCCAGGCUUGUGUUGGGGACCUGCGGCUGCCGCAGGCCCUGAAAACCAGUGGCGGGCUCGCUGUCACACCGGGCGUAGUAGAUUUUAUCUCGCUCAGGGCGUGCUGCGGGUCCCGGCCGUUAAAAGCCUUUUUUUACCCAAGGUUGACCUCGGAUCAGGUAGGAAGACCCGCUGAACUUAAGCAUAUCAAUAAGCGGAGGA